rfam:Malassezia pachydermatis strain CBS 1879 scaffold7, whole genome shotgun sequence.
GGCCCAAUAGUAUAGUCGUAUUAUACUCCCUUCGGGAACAUAAAAACCCUCAGGGGAGCCCUGAGCUUGGGAGAGGUCCCGGGUUCAAUUCCCGGUUGGGCCC